rnacentral:rRNA from 1 species
GACGAACGCUGGCGGCGCGCUUAACACAUGCAAGUCGAACGGAAAGGCCUGCUUUCCCUUGUGGAUUGCGGGUACUCGAGUGGCGAACGGGUGAGUAACACGUGAGUGAUCUGCCCCCAACUUGGGUAUAAGCCUGGGAAACUGGGUCUAAUUCCCGAUAGGACUGCAGGGUGGUGCCUGUGGUGGAAAACGAUUUUCUAGUGGUUGGGGAUGAGCUCGCGGCCUAUCAGCUUGUUGGUGGGGUAAUGGCCUACCAAGGCGGCGACGGGUAGCCGGCCUGGGAGAGUGGACGGCCACAUUGGGACUGAGAUACGGCCCAGAAUCCUACGGGAGGCAGCAGUGGGGAAGAUUGCACAAUGGGCGGAAGCCUGAUGCAGCGACGCCGAGUGGGGGAUGACGGCCUUCGGGUUGUAAACUCCUUUCGACCGCGAGGAAGCCACCUGGUUGGAAGGGUGGUGACGGUAGUGGUAGAAGAAGCACCGGCUAACUACGUG